rnacentral:rRNA from 1 species
CACGUAGGGGGCGAGCGUUGUCCGGAUUUAUUGGGCGUAAAGAGCUCGUAGGCGGCUCGGUAAGUCAGGUGUGAAAACUCUAGGCUCAACCUAGAGACGCCACCUGAUACUGCUGUGGCUAGAGUCCGGUAGGGGAGCAUGGAAUUCCUGGUGUAGCGGUGAAAUGCGCAGAUAUCAGGAGGAACACCAGUGGCGAAGGCGGUGUUCUGGGCCGGAACUGACGCUGAGGAGCGAAAGCGUGGGGAGCAAACAGG